rnacentral:rRNA from 1 species
ACUUAAAUUGAAGAGUUUGAUCAUGGCUCAGAUUGAACGCUGGCGGCAGGCCUAACACAUGCAAGUCGAGCGGUAGCACAGAGAGCUUGCUCUCGGGUGACGAGCGGCGGACGGGUGAGUAAUGUCUGGGAAACUGCCUGAUGGAGGGGGAUAACUACUGGAAACGGUAGCUAAUACCGCAUAACGUCGCAAGACCAAAGUGGGGGACCUUCGGGCCUCAUGCCAUCAGAUGUGCCAGAUGGGAUUAGCUAGUAGGUGGGGUAAUGGCUCACCUAG